rnacentral:rRNA from 1 species
AGAACGAACGCUGGCGGCAUGCCUAACACAUGCAAGUCGAACGAGGGCCCCGCUUCGGUGGGACCCUAGUGGCGCACGGGUGAGUAACGCGUGGGAACCUGCCCUGUGGUACGGAAUAACUCCGGGAAACUGGAGCUAAUACCGUAUGUGUCCUUUGGGACAAAGAUUUAUCGCCAUGGGAUGGGCCCGCGUAGGAUUAGCUUGUUGGUGGGGUAACGCCUACCAAGGCAACGAUCCUUAGCUGGUCUGAGAGGAUGAUCAGCCACACUGGGACUGAGACACGGCCCAGACUCCUACGGGAGGCAGCAGUGGGGAAUAUUGGACAAUGGGCGCAAGCCUGAUCCAGCAAUGCCGCGUGAGUGAUGAAGGCCUUCGGUGUAAAGCUCUUUCGCACGCGACGAUGAUGACGUAGCGUGAGAAGAAGCCCGGCUAACUUCGUGCCAGCAGCCGC